CCUCUUCGUUCCAAAUAUGUCUUGCAAUACAGUUCGGAUAAAGGGGCAGCACUGACAAGUCUGAUGAGCCUUAUCCAACCCCUUGUGGUGCUUGGGGUGUCUUUACUUCCUCCUGGGCCUGGGGUGCCUUAGGUACCUCUACCGCCUCCUGCACAUAGGGUACAUUUAGUGUAUGAGGUACCUCUUUUAUCUCGGAUGUCAGAACAACUGAAAUCUGUCACCUAUAGGAAGAUGGAGGCAAGGAUGCAUAAGUAGGUGACACCCGUCUCCUACGGGAAGAAGAAGGCGGAGAUACAUGAGCCCCAAAAGCUCACACCUCCACAUCAACCAGGCUAUAGGUAACAUGAGCCUGCAAAGGGUGAAUUUUUUUCCCUCUGCAUGUUGUGUAACCCUAUCCUACCUUAAUCAAUUUUUUCUAUCAGCAAUAAUCGAAGGCUUUUGAUGCUCAACAAACAUAAACGGAGAAAACGAAAAAACGCUUAUGUAAAAAAGCUGCAACGACAACGCGAUUCACAACUUCAACUUUCCGGAUUCACGUCUGGAUUGUGUUCAUCCUCAACUUCUUCUUCUUCUUCAGAUUAUGACGCGUCAAGUGAAGAGCAUGGAAUUGAAAUCAAGAAAACUCACCGGAUUGAAGCAUUGAUGCAACCAGGGUUGUGAUCAUUGGCUUGCUUGUGGAAAUUUGAUGCUUGGACAUGUUAAUCAUGGAGCUAUUGUGGGAUGUGAAUGCUAGGACAUGUUAUUGACGUAUUGUAUGGUGAUGUUGAAAAAUGACUUGGAACUUAGGAUUGUUAAUGGUUGGAUUUUUUUGUAAUUUUGAAAUUGACAUUGUAUUGGUUUGAAUGUAGGGUUAUGUAUUAUUAUGUUGUAAUUAGAAUUAAUGGCAUGGUUUGUGGUUUGUAAAUUUGAAUUGGUUUAGGUGUUGAAAUGUAAAAUGUGUAUGAAUUGAAUUCAAUUGAAUUGGAAUUGGCUUGUAAUUUGAAUCCGUUGAAUUGGAAUGUGAUUGUUAAGUUGUUUUGAAA